GGCGGGAAUAUGACAAUAAGACGAGAAGACCCUAUGGAGCUUUAAUUAACCAGCCCAAAGAGAUCUUAAUAACCAACCGACAGGGUAUAACAAACCUCUACCAUGGGCUGACAAUUUAGGUUGGGGUGACCUCGGAGAAUAAAACAACCUCCGAGUGAUUUAAAUCUAGACUAACCAGUCGAAAGUAUUACAUCACUUAUU
rnacentral:rRNA from 1 species